UUAGUCACGCCGGCCACAUGACCACGGAGACUGUCUGCGAACAAACACUGGCUCCCUCGGCCAGGAAACGGGGAUGAGCACCGCCCCCUAGAGCCAGGCAUGACUGGACUUAAUAUCAAGGGAAACCUUUACCUUUACCUUUA